rnacentral:tRNA from 1 species
GCCCCCGUAGCUCAGGUGGAUAGAGCGGCUGCCUCCUAAGCAGCAGGCCAGAGGUUCGAGUCCUCUCGGGGGCA